rnacentral:misc_RNA from 1 species
AAAUGCGAUAAGUAAUGUGAAUUGCAGAAUUCAGUGAAUCAUCGAAUCUUUGAACGCACAUUGCGCCCGCCAGCACUCUGGCGGGCCUGCCUGUUCGAGCGUCAUUUCAACCCUCAGAACCCCUUGCGGGAUCUGGCGUUGGGGAUUGGCAUCCAGCCAGCCCCGAAAUCUAGUGGCGGUCCCUCCGCGACCUCCCCUGUGCAGUAGCGAUACCUCGCAGCGGGACAGCGGUCUGACCACGCCGUAAAACCCCCAACUUCUCAAGGUUGACCUCGAAUCAGGUAGGAAUACCCGCUGAACUUAAGC